GAUGAACGCUGACAGAAUGCUUAACACAUGCAAGUCAACUUGAAUUUGGGUUUUUAACUUAGGUUUGGGUGGCGGACGGGUGAGUAACGCGUAAAGAACUUGCCUCACAGUUAGGGACAACAUUUGGAAACGAACGCUAAUACCUAAUAUUAUGAUAAUAGGGCAUCCUAUGAUUAUGAAAGCUAUAAGCGCUGUGAGAGAGCUUUGCGUCCCAUUAGCUAGUUGGAGAGGUAACGGCUCACCAAGGCGAUGAUGGGUAGCCGGCCUGAGAGGGUGAUCGGCCACAAGGGGACUGAGACACGGCCCUUACUCCUACGGGAGGCAGCAGUGGGGAAUAUUGGACAAUGGACCAAGAGUCUGAUCCAGCAAUUCUGUGUGCACGAUGAAGUUUUUCGGAAUGUAAAGUGCUUUCAGUUGGGAAGAAAGAAAUGACGGUACCAACAGAAGAAGUGACGGCUAAAUACGUGCCAGCAGCCGCGGUAAUACGUAUGUCACGAGCGUUAUCCGGAUUUAUUGGGCGUAAAGCGCGUCUAGGUGGUUAUGUAAGUCUGAUGUGAAAAUGCAGGGCUCAACUCUGUAUUGCGUUGGAAACUGUAUAACUAGAGUACUGGAGAGGUAAGCGGAACUACAAGUGUAGAGGUGAAAUUCGUAGAUAUUUGUAGGAAUGCCGAUGGGGAAGCCAGCUUACUGGACAGAUACUGACGCUGAAGCGCGAAAGCGUGGGUAGCAAACAGG
rnacentral:rRNA from 1 species